AGUGAACGCUGGCGGUAGGCCUAACACAUGCAAGUCGAACGGCAGCACAGUAAGAGCUUGCUCUUACGGGUGGCGAGUGGCGGACGGGUGAGGAAUACAUCGGAAUCUACUUUUUCGUGGGGGAUAACGUAGGGAAACUUACGCUAAUACCGCAUACGACCUACGGGUGAAAGCAGGGGAUCUUCGGACCUUGCGCGAUUGAAUGAGCCGAUGUCGGAUUAGCUAGUUGGCGGGGUAAAGGCCCACCAAGGCGACGAUCCGUAGCUGGUCUGAGAGGAUGAUCCCCCACCCGGGACCUGGGACACGGCCCAGCCCCCCAGGGGGGGCAGCGGUGGGGAAAUUGGGAAAAGGGGGGAAACCCUGUCCCAGCCAUACCGCGGGGGUGAAGAAGGCCUUCGGGUUUUAAAGCCCUUUUGUUGGGAAAGAAAAGCAGCAGGUUAAUCCCCCGCUGUUUUGACGGUACCCAAAGAAUAAACACCGGCCAACUUCGG
rnacentral:rRNA from 1 species